GCUCAGGUGCCUCGUUCACCUCUCGAGCCACUUCCUUCGAGUCGGGUGAGAAAUCAGCGUUGCCGAACGAUGCGAUG
rnacentral:SRP_RNA from 1 species